UCCGAACCCAGCAGUGCACGCGACAAAGCCGAUUCGGGCGCGUGCUGCAUAUUGCAUAUUGCAUGCAACCUAGAAAAAGAAACCAUCAUGGCCUUAUGGUGUGAGGCUCUUUGUGCCAGCUGCCCUGAUGAUACAGGGUUCAGCUCCUGUGAAAGGUGAACUGAGAGUGUGACAUCAUCCUCCAUCAAAUCCCAAAAUAACCCACUAGCUGAACUGCAUGCAUGUUUAUGUAACAGCAUGGUGUUUUUAUUUAUUUAUUUAUUUAUUUAUUAGUAAGGGCUUCUAGAUGCCGGGCCUCUGAUAUUUAUUUUCCAUGUGUUGGCUGACAUGCAGAUGAUUGUGCUGUGUGUUGUGUUAAAGCAUCAGGAGGGAUUUUAUUCAUUAAGCACUAGAAACUAAACACUAAACAGUAAACAGGGGCCAUUAUGCAUUAAGCACUAAGCAGUAGACUCUAAAGACUAAUGCUUAGCAUUAAACACUAAGCACUAGACACUAAGGACUGAGCACUAAGCACUAAACACUGGACUAGUUUGCAGACAAUAAGGACUAAGCACUAGACUCUAAGCACUAAACACUAAAGAUUAGUUACUAGACACUAAAGACUAAGCGACUGGACACAAAAUACUAAGCACUAGGGACUAAGCACUAGACACUAUGGACUAAGCACUAGACACUAUGGACUAGUUACUAGACAUUAAGGACUAGUUAGUAGACACUAAAUACUAAGCACUAAACACUAAGGACUAGCUACUAGACACUCAGGACUAAGCACUAGACAUGAAAUACUAAGCACUAGGCACUAUGGACUAGUUACUAGACACUAAGUACUAAGCACUAGACACUAAAUACUAAGCACUAGACACUAUGGACUAAGCACUAGACACUAUGGACUAGUUACUAGACAUUAAGGACUAGUUAGUAGACACUAAAUACUAAGCACUAAACACUAAGGACUAGCUACUAGACACUAAGGACUAAGCACUAGACAUGAAAUACUAAGCACUAGGCACUAUGGACUAGUUACUAGACACUAAGGACUAAACACUAGACACUAAAUACUAAGCACUAGACACUAAAUACUACACACUAGACACUAAGGACUAGCUUCUAGACACUUAGGACUAAGCACUAGACACUAAAAACUAAGCAGACACUAAAUACUAAGCUUUAGACAUUAAAUACUAAGCACUAGACACUGAGUACUAGUUACUAGACAUUAAGGAUUCGUUAGUAGACACUAAAUACUAAGCACUAAACACUAAGGACUAGUUUCUAGACACUAAAUACUACACACUAGACACUAAGGACUAAGUACUAGACACUAAAUACU